rnacentral:autocatalytically_spliced_intron from 1 species
UUGAUCGUUUUAGAGAGUUGAAUUACUCAAAGAAACGAAAAAAGCGUGUAUUAACCCCGUAGAGACUAAACGUUGGUUAUCCUUUCAAAAUAGGGAUAAAGGUAUAGUCCAAUGCACUUGGCAACAAGUGG